CGGGACACGUGGUAUCCUGUCUGAAUAUGGGGGGACCAUCCUCCAAGGCUAAAUACUCCUGACUGACCGAUAGUGAACCAGUACCGUGAGGGAAAGGCGAAAAGAACCCCGGCGAGGGGAGUGAAAAAGAACCUGAAACCGUGUACGUACAAGCAGUGGGAGCACGCUUAGGCGUGUGACUGCGUACCUUUUGUAUAAUGGGUCAGCGACUUAUAUUCUGUAGCAAGGUUAACCGAAUAGGGGAGCCGAAGGGAAACCGAGUCUUAACUGGGCGUUAAGUUGCAGGGUAUAGACCCGAAACCCGGUGAUCUAGCCAUGGGCAGGUUGAAGGUUGGGUAACACUAACUGGAGGACCGAACCGACUAAUGUUGAAAAAUUAGCGGAUGACUUGUGGCUGGGGGUGAAAGGCCAAUCAAACCGGGAGAUAGCUGGUUCUCCCCGAAAGCUAUUUAGGUAGCGCCUCGUGAAUUCAUCUCCGGGGGUAGAGCACUGUUUCGGCAAGGGGGUCAUCCCGACUUACCAACCCGAUGCAAACUGCGAAUACCGGAGAAUGUUAUCACGGGAGACACACGGCGGGUGCUAACGUCCGUCGUGAAGAGGGAAACAACCCAGACCGCCAGCUAAGGUCCCAAAGUCAUGGUUAAGUGGGAAACGAUGUGGGAAGGCCCAGACAGCCAGGAUGUUGGCUUAGAAGCAGCCAUCAUUUAAAGAAAGCGUAAUAGCUCACUGGUCGAGUCGGCCUGCGCGGAAGAUGUAACGGGGCUAAACCAUGCACCGAAGCUGCGGCAGCGACGCUGAUGCGUUGUUGGGUAGGGGAGCGUUCUGUAAGCCUGUGAAGGUGUGCUGUGAGGCAUGCUGGAGGUAUCAGAAGUGCGAAUGCUGACAUAAGUAACGAUAAAGCGGGUGAAAAGCCCGCUCGCCGGAAGACCAAGGGUUCCUGUCCAACGUUAAUCGGGGCAGGGUGAGUCGACCCCUAAGGCGAGGCCGAAAGGCGUAGUCGAUGGGAAACAGGUUAAUAUUCCUGUACUUGGUGUUACUGCGAAGGGGGGACGGAGAAGGCUAUGUUGGCCGGGCGACGGUUGUCCCGGUUUAAGCGUGUAGGCUGGUUUUCCAGGCAAAUCCGGAAAAUCAAGGCUGAGGCGUGAUGACGAGGCACUACGGUGCUGAAGCAACAAAUGCCCUGCUUCCAGGAAAAGCCUCUAAGCAUCAGGUAACAUCAAAUCGUACCCCAAACCGACACAGGUGGUCAGGUAGAGAAUACCAAGGCGCUUGAGAGAACUCGGGUGAAGGAACUAGGCAAAAUGGUGCCGUAACUUCGGGAGAAGGCACGCUGAUAUGUAGGUGAAGUCCCUCGCGGAUGGAGCUGAAAUCAGUCGAAGAUACCAGCUGGCUGCAACUGUUUAUUAAAAACACAGCACUGUGCAAACACGAAAGUGGACGUAUACGGUGUGACGCCUGCCCGGUGCCGGAAGGUUAAUUGAUGGGGUCAGCGCAAGCGAAGCUCUUGAUCGAAGCCCCGGUAAACGGCGGCCGUAACUAUAACGGUCCUAAGGUAGCGAAAUUCCUUGUCGGGUAAGUUCCGACCUGCACGAAUGGCGUAAUGAUGGCCAGGCUGUCUCCACCCGAGACUCAGUGAAAUUGAACUCGCUGUGAAGAUGCAGUGUACCCGCGGCAAGACGGAAAGACCCCGUGAACCUUUACUAUAGCUUGACACUGAACAUUGAGCCUUGAUGUGUAGGAUAGGUGGGAGGCUUUGAAGUGUGGACGCCAGUCU
rnacentral:rRNA from 1 species